ACGCUGGCGGUAACUUUUAAACAUGCAGUCGAGCGGUAACAGACAUAAAGAUUCAGCUUGCUGAAUCCGGUGCUGACGAGCGGCGAACGGGUGAGUAACGCGUAGGAAUCUACCCAGUAGCGGGGGAUAGCCCGAGGAAACUCGGAUUAAUACCGCAUACGCCCUGAGGGGGAAAGGGGGCAGUUUACUGCUCUCACUAUUGGAUGAGCCUGCGUAAGAUUAGCUUGUUGGUGGGGUAAUGGCCUACCAAGGCAAUGAUCUUUAGCUGGUCUGAGAGGACGAUCAGCCACAUUGGGACUGAGACACGGCCCAGACAUCUACGGAUGGCAGCAGUUAAGAAUAUUGGACAAUGGGGGCAACCCUGAUCCAGGUAUACCGCGUGUGUGAAGAAGGCCCUAGGGUUGUAAAGCACUUUAAUCAGAGAAGAAGCAUUUUAAGUUAAUACCUUAAUAUGUUGACGUUACCUGAAGAAUAAGGACCGG
rnacentral:rRNA from 1 species